AAGUGACGACUCUGAAAUCUUAAUAACUAAAUUUGUCCCAAUUGCCGUUUAAUUGGAAAUACUCCUUUAUGCCCUCGGGGAUGUAGUGAAAAAGGAAAUGUGACAGCUCUGGCGACUCUUCUAGGGACAAGAACCUAGAACGUUUUGUUUCGGGUUCAAAAUUCGAGCUUAAAUAAAUUGUAGUAUUUGAUUAUAUCUGAUUUCCCUACAUAUUUUAUGCUGAAUGUGCUAAAUGUUUACAGCUUUGAUAUUAUCUGAACUGUAUAAAAACUGUGCCAAAACCCUUCUCUUAUCACCUACGGGGUUGUGCUUACUGGUUGAGAC
rnacentral:lncRNA from 1 species